AGUGAACGCUGGCGGUAGGCCUAACACAUGCAAGUCGAACGGCAGCACAGUAAGAGCUUGCUCUUACGGGUGGCGAGUGGCGGACGGGUGAGGAAUAAAUCGGACUCUACUUUUUCGUGGGGGAUCACGUAGGGAAACUUACGCUAAUACCGCAUAUGAUCUACGGGUGAAAGCAGUGGAUCUUCGGACCUUUUGCGAUUGAAUGAGCCGGUGUCGGAUUAGCUAGUUGGCGGGGUAACGGCCCACCAAGGCGACGAUCCGUAGCUGGUCUGAGAGGAUGAUCGGCCACACUGGAACUGAGACACGGUCCAGACUCCUACGGGAGGCAGCAGUGGGGAAUAUUGGGCAAUGGGCGCAAGCCUGAUCCAGCCAUACCGCGUGGGUGAAGAAGGCCUUCGGGUUGUAAAGCCCUUUUAUUGGGAAAGAAAAGCAGUAGGUUAAUACCCCGCUGUUCUGACGGUACCCAAAGAAUAAGCACCGGCUAACUUCGUG
rnacentral:rRNA from 1 species